CAGGGCAGCCUUCACUCCCUGCUGACUCCUCUGGACAGGGCUGAGCGGGCUUUUGGCAGGAGAGCUGGUACCAACAAGUUUUGUCCCAUGGAGAACUGUGGUACUUCGACACUUAUUUGCCCCAGGGCAUCUGACAUGAAUCAGGAUGUAACUUAGGGGGGUUACUGAACUGUGUUAUUGAGGUGUUGAUGGCUCUCAGUUCUGCACCACAGCAGCUGAAGCUCUGUCGUAAGGGAUGGAUGACUAAAUGACAAGGCACAGAUGAUGUGCCUCCUGUGGAAGCAUCUAUGGAAGAUGUAAAUGGGAUCUCCUGGAGACCUAAAUGAGGCCUCUAAAGGUUAACCUGUGGGCAGGUGUAGGAUGCCAGGAG